AAUGGUGGAAUUUCCAGUCUUUGGUGGCACCAAAGAAGUCCCUUUUUACAGGACAUCCUGGAUGCCUACGAGUCCAGGAUGUCCUGUAAAGGGACUUUGCAAAGUAAAGGAACUUUGCAAAGUAAAGGUCGGGUCUGUCGCAAGCUGAAGGCCCCUCUUUCAGCCUGCGACAGAGUCACAAAAAUUUAUAAAUAUCAAAAGAAGAAAGCGGCCCGAUCAGCAGCCUCUCUUCCACCACCUCCGCAAAUGGAAGAAGUCCACGACAUGGCUUCCAG